rnacentral:rRNA from 1 species
AAAUUGAAGAGUUUGAUCAUGGCUCAGAUUGAACGCUGGCGGCAGGCCUAACACAUGCAAGUCGAACGGUAACAGGAAGAAGCUUGCUUCUUUGCU